rnacentral:tRNA from 1 species
GCCGGAGUAGCUCAGGGGCAGAGCAACUGUUUUGUAAACAGUAGGUCGUGGGUUCAAAUCCCUCCUCCGGCU